rnacentral:rRNA from 1 species
GUGUCAGCCGCCGCGGUAAUACAGAGGGUGCGAGCGUUGUCCGGAAUCACUGGGCGUAAAGGGCGCGUAGGCGGCCGGGUAAGUAGGGGGUGAAAUCUCACGGCUCAACCGUGAGGCUGCCUUCUAGACUGCCUGGCUCGAGCAUGGUAGAGGCUGGUGGAAUUCCCGGUGUAGCGGUGGAAUGCGUAGAGAUCGGGAAGAACAUCGGUGGCGAAGGCGGCCAGCUGGGCCAUUGCUGACGCUGAUGCGCGAAAGCGUGGGGAGCAAACAGGAUUAGAAACCCUUGUAGUCC